GUAGCUAACUGAGGGUUAAUUCCUAAUAUUCUAAUAAUACUGCAAUCAUAAAUCUCAAAUCAAGAAUUCAUGAAACAAACUCAAAAGGAUUGAAUUAAGGCUCACCUAAUCAAGAAAUAUGAUGUAAAAAUUGAAUGUAUUCGUUAAAAGUGACUCAAAAUGAACUUCAAAGCAAAACCCACUGCUGCCGACGAUAGCUUGACCGGACUUUAUGAGAACGCUCGCCGGAAGUACGCUGGUGAGGCGUUGACAACAAAAGAGGAGCUGGAUUGGCCGGCCGGUAACAGGUCUUGCCGGAAAAACGAGAAAGAGGGCUGAUGGCGCUACUCUCCGAUUGAAACUCAACUGCAGCUUCUUGUGUUAGCUGCGCUAGCCGGAAACGACAGGAGGGAGAGGUUGGAACUACGCCAUCGAUGGAAAAGAAGCCGGAGUCGACCGAUCUUGCACUGGAGUAGCCGGAAAAUCUGGCCGGAGACGCGACGCGAUUUCCCGAUCGAACGAAGUCGCAGGUUCCCUGCGAUAGCUGAGCUCGCCAGAGACGAAAGGAGAGAGAGAGGAAGAGAGGCCGAAGCUGUGGUGAGGCGGCGACGUGGCAAGGAGGUGGUGAUGAACGACUGUUCUCCGGCGAUCGGGAAAAUUAAAAAAAAAA